rnacentral:misc_RNA from 1 species
CUUUAUAAAUUGGAAUUUGAGAUGUUAAUUUGAUCAUAUUUCAUGUAAUACCUAUUGUUAUCACUUCUAAUCGUGUCCUCAUUUGUCCUUGUUUUCAUGAAUUUUUCUGCUCUUAUGUGGUUGCUUGGCCAUUAUUCUUGUGUUGGUUUUUAAUGGUUUUUCCCUCCCUUUUCAAAUUUGUUGUUAUGCAGUUUUCUCUCUCUCUUAUCUACUUUGGUUGGGAGGUCA